GGAUCAGUGGCGAACGGGUGAGUAACACGUGGGCAAUCUGCCCUGCACUCUGGGACAAGCCCUGGAAACGGGGUCUAAUACCGGAUAUUACCUUCCUCUGCAUGGGGGUUGGUGGAAAGCUCCGGCGGUGCAGGAUGAGCCCGCGGCCUAUCAGCUUGUUGGUGGGGUAAUGGCCUACCAAGGCGACGACGGGUAGCCGGCCUGAGAGGGCGACCGGCCACACUGGGACUGAGACACGGCCCAGACUCCUACGGGAGGCAGCAGUGGGGAAUAUUGCACAAUGGGCGAAAGCCUGAUGCAGCGACGCCGCGUGAGGGAUGACGGCCUUCGGGUUGUAAACCUCUUUCAGCAGGGAAGAAGCGAAAGUGACGGUACCUGCAGAAGAAGCACCGGCUAACUACGUGCCAGCAGCCGCGGUAAUACGUAGGGUGCGAGCGUUGUCCGGAAUUAUUGGGCGUAAAGAGCUCGUAGGCGGCCUGUUGCGUCGGUUGUGAAAGCCCGGGGCUUAACCCCGGGUCUGCAGUCGAUACGGGCAGGCUAGAGUUCGGUAGGGGAGAUCGGAAUUCCUGGUGUAGCGGUGAAAUGCGCAGAUAUCAGGAGGAACACCGGUGGCGAAGGCGGAUCUCUGGGCCGAUACUGACGCUGAGGAGCGAAAGCGUGGGGAGCGAACAGGAUUAGAUACCCUGGUAGUCCACGCCGUAAACGUUGGGAACUAGGUGUGGGCGACAUUCCACGUCGU
rnacentral:rRNA from 1 species